CCUACGGGAGGCAGCAGUGGGGAAUCUUUCACAAUGGGGGAAACCCUGAUGCAGCGACGCCGCGUGCGGGAGGAAGUAUUUCGGUAUGUAAAGCUCUAUCAGCAGGGAAGAAAAUGACGGUAACUGACUAAGAAGCCUCGGCUAACUACGUGCCAGCAGCCGCGGUCAUACGUAGGAGGCGAGCGUUAUCCGGAUUUACUGGGUGUAAAGGGAGCGAAGACGGACUUGCAAGACUGAUGUGAAAAUCCGGGGCCAAACCCCGGAACUGCAUUGGAAACUGUAUAGCUAGAGAGUCGGAGAGGCAAGUGGAAUUCCUGGUGUAGCGGUGAAAUGCGUAGAUAUCAGGAGGAACACCAGUGGCGAAGGCGGCUUGCUGGACGAUGUCUGACGCUGAGGCUCGAAAGCGUGGGGAGCAAACAGGAUUAGAUACCCGAGUAGUC
rnacentral:rRNA from 1 species